rnacentral:misc_RNA from 1 species
AUUAGUCACAUUCAUUGUUUAAAGAACCUUAAAAGUCAGCCGAUAAAAUUCAUUAGAUAAGUAUUCGUCGAUUCAUCGUCAAUCGUCAAACAAAAAAAAUAUAAAGAAAAGAUUAAAGUGUUAAAAGUUCAAUGCGAUUAUCAGCUUUUUAUAUUGUGUAAAAUAUUAUUCUUUUUUAAUUCGAACAUUCAGUCUAAUAAAUUUUGACUAACGACAUUAAAAUUCAAGGAAUGAAAUAUAAUCUGGAUGAAUUACAUGGUAUUUGGAUUAUUCAUGCUGAACCCUCAAAGUAUGUAAACGUAAUUGUAGAUAAAUAUAAAAAUUACGUUAGAACAUCAAAUUGUGAGAAGUCAAUUUUGUUAUUUAUUAGUAUCUUCUGUCACUCUAUCUUCAACAUUAAACACCCGUGAUAAAUUAUACCAAUAAACAA